rnacentral:rRNA from 1 species
GGAGUUUUGGACAAUGGGCGCAAGCCUGAUCUAGCCAUGCCGCGUGAGUGAUGAAGGCCUUAGGGGCGUAAAGCUCUUUCGCCAGAGAUGAUAAUGACAGUAUCUGGUAAAGAAACCCCGGCUAACUCCGUGCCAGCAGCCGCGGUAAUACGGAGGGGGUUAGAGUUGUUCGGAAUUACUGGGCGUAGAGCGCACGUAGGCGGAUCAGAAAGUUGGGGGUGAAAUCCCAGGGCUCAACCCUGGAACGGCCUCCAAAACUCCUGGUCUUGAGUUCGAGAGAGGUGAGUGGAAUUCCGAGUGUAGAGGUGAAAUUCGUAGAUAUUCGGAGGAACACCGGUGGCGAAGGCGGCUCACUGGCUCGAUACUGACGCUGAGGUGCGAAAGUGUGGGGAGCAAA